CCUACGGGUGGCAGCAGUGGGGAAUAUUGCACAAUGGGGGAAACCCUGAUGCAGCGACGCCGCGUGAGUGAAGAAGUAUUUCGGUUUGUAAAGCUCUUUCAUCAGGGAAGAAAAUGACGGUACCUGAUGAAGAAGCACCGGCUAACUACGUGCCAGCAGCCGCGGGAAUACGUAGGGGGCAAGCGUUAUCCGGAUUUACUGGGUGUAAAGGGAGCGUAGGCGGGAGCACAAGUCAGGAGUGAAAUGCCGGGGCUUAACCCGGGAACUGCAUUGGAAACUGUGCAGCUAGAGUGCAGGAGAGGUAAGUGGAAUUCCUAGUGUAGCGGUGAAAGGCGUAGAUAUUAGGAGGAACACCAGUGGCGAAGGCGGAUUACUGGACUGUAACUGACGUUGAGGCUCGAAAGCGUGGGGAGCAAACAGGAUUAGAUACCCCGGUAGUC
rnacentral:rRNA from 1 species